rnacentral:sRNA from 1 species
AAGGGUCUUGGAGUUGAAGAGUUAAUCCUCGAAACUAUCAGUACUGAUGCCAAACAAGAAUUUAAGGACAAUGAGGAAGUUGCAAGCAAUCAGGAAGCUGGAGAAAUUGAUAGAGAGACGGAGAAAGAGAAGGAGCUCUCUGCUCUGCUCU